GUCACGUGCGCAAACCCAGUUCAUUCAUUUUCCGAGCCAAAUGGCUGAUUUUCCUGCCGUGCAUCAUUUUCCAUGGCUGUGCCAGUUCUGCUCCUCUACAGGAGACGGACAGAAACUGCCGGUGCUUUCUUCCUUGUGACGGAUCACCUGAGCUCGAGAAACAUGACAGCGUCCGAGUUCUUGUGCAACAUCUUUCAGAUGAUCUUGAACUAAUACAUAAGGUGUCCAGUUUGUAUGAUGGAGGGCGCUGUUCAGUGCCAGGCUGUUUCCAGAGGAGCAUGCAUUACAGACUGCAAAUGUACGCUAAUGACAAAGACCCAGUGCCUAAAAUACUGCUCAAUAAAACAGAUUUACAGCCUGAAUGUGAUCCAGAGGCAAUAUCAGACAAAAAAACAAACAGUGCUGACGGGAAACUCUGUAACAAGUUCCUGAUCCCACUGGCCUUUUGCUUCUGGAUCGUCUUCCUCCUCGAGGGACCAAGAUAAUGGCACACAUACACAGCAGCUACUCCAGGGCCAAAGAAAUGCUGUUCCUCAUGCACUACCACAUCACAACACCUAAAACUAUCAUCUCAGGCUUUACAUUCCAGGACUAUGGGCUUUCUCAGACCAUGAGGACUUCAUGAUCAAAAACGCACUAAAUGGACCAUUGUUUUUGUUAGGCCAGGCUGCUUUAAAAUGCAUGCUUUUAUAGAUUUCCUAUUUUUAUCUCUUGCUCUAAAUUCUCUUAUUUUAUAUGUGCUUUUCUUAUCUUAUGCUACACGUACAGCAUCACAAAACUGGAAACAUGCAUUUCGGUCCACAAAACAACAUUAAAGAAAAAAACAAUUGACUUUCUCCAGGAGGUCUAUAUGACCAGUUGUGCCUCAAAUAGACAGUUAUUCUUCCUCCCUGUGUAGUCAAUUUGACUUCUACCCACAGUUUAUUUAUUUUAUUUUAUUUUUUAUUUCACAGUGUAUAUAGUAUUUAACAGAUUAUUUGUCCCAUCCAUGUUAAAAUUUUUUAUUAAUGCAAAAUAAUGUAUUUAUAAUAAAUAUAUAUUUUAAUGUCUUCACAAA
ensembl:lncRNA